GGAGACAGAGGAGGCUGGAGAGGACACAGGCCUGGAGAGAGAGGAGCUGGGGUCAAUUAUUCCCGGUGACUGUCUUCCUCCGAGUAGUGUUUUGGGGCGGAGCUACAAGGAGAGGCGGGGCCUUAGGGUGAGUGACAGCCGACCUGGCCAUAGGGAGACACCACUGAAUACUGACGUUGGUACGUUCAGUGGGCUGCGUAUCGGAGAAGUACAGUCUGUAGGAGAGCUGUCCAGGCCAGAGUUUAUCACACACCCACACCGCUACUUCAACCAUAGAGACAAUACCAGCCCAAUAUACCCAGCCAUACCUGCCAACAGUGAGGUGGUGAAGGCUGCCUUUGACGAGCGGAGUCUGUUCCCUAAAGAGCUCCUGGAUGGGGAGGACAAGACUAUCCAUGGAGCCAGGAAACAGAGGAACAGGGAGAAGCGGAUCAACGCCAGGGGGCGUGGAAGGAAGGACAGAUGAGGGAGACUGACAGGUGUGUCAGAGAACAGACAAUUGUGACCUAGCAGGACAGAUUUGAACUUAUCAGUCAUUGUUUUUUUCUCUAUAGAUAAAUAAAAGGUAGUUCCUCUUGAACUUUCUCUGGAACCUUCAAGUGAAGGCAUCGUUUAUAUGGUUAUUGUUAUUGUUAUAUUUAUACGUUUUAAUAUGACUUUUUAUAUAACUGUAAAAUUAAAUCUGAUCAAUCAAGCCAUUUUCAAGAUCAUGUAGGCAUGAAAACUCCUGCUUUUAAAAGAUGUGUUCACAGUGUGUUAUUUCUUCUAUCAGUGUCACUAAUGUAAUGUUUAUUAAAUAUUGUUAAAUUACAGUUUAAUUUCAGGUGAAUGAUACCCUGUACCAGAAUAUUAUGUUUUUAAAUUAGGUGCAUUUUAUAGUCCUAGCAUUUCUCUGUAUGUGACUAAUGACAAGAGUGUAAUAUAAAUGUACUUCCCCUCAUGAAAAAGUACUACUGAAUUACUACUCAUUACUACUACACAAUAUCUACACAUAACCUACUGGUUUUAAUACUCAUCACUACUACACAAUAUCUACACAUAACCUACUGGUUUUAAUACUCAUUACUACUACACAAGAUCUACACAUAACCUACUGGUUUUAAUACUCAUUACUACUACACAAGAUCUACACAUAACCUACUGGUUUUACUACUCAUUACUACUACACAAUAUCUACACAUAACCUACUGGUUUAACUACU